UGUUCUGUGGCUCAGUUAAUUAAAGCGCUGGUCUAGCGAAUACGGAGUCGUAGGUUCAAAUCCCACCAGAACGC
rnacentral:tRNA from 1 species